GAUUUUUAUGAUUUAAUAAAUGUAUUAAUAAUAACAAAAUUAAAAAUAUUCUGUUGCAGACACCACAAGACAGUUUUGCAAAUACCCUCACAAUACGUUACCACCCAGCAUUGGAGUUGGAAGGAGAUGAAAUUAAGACUAUUCUCUGUAAAUACGGAACUGGAAGUCUUUCCAGAACCUACUACCUGGAAUCUUAUGUAAGCAAUUAAGACCAAAUGAAGAAAUCCAAAAUGUAUAACCUUUUGUACUUAAAUAAAAUAAAGAAGAAAACA